CCCAGAACAUCAACCUCUACCUCUCCCUCAACAUUUACGUGGGCCAUGGGCUUCCCCAUCGACUCCUGCUGGAAUUGGAUAUGGUCAUCCAGAAACAAUGAUGCCACCAUUCAACCAAAAUCAUGUCGGUGCACACCCCUCUUCUGCCAUUUAUUUACAUUCCUCUCAGUAUCCAUGUCAGUGCCCGGGAAUGCCUUUUAUCCAACCUUUUUCACAGGUAUGUCAAUCGGAGUGGCAUUUCUUUCCUAUCAUUUAUAGAAUGCUUGUUAUGAAUCUUCUCUUGUUGCAGUUGGGAGCCAUCAUUUGCAGCUAACAUCAUAUGGUUUUUCAGAUAUUUCUAUAGUUUUAUAAUCUCCAAGCUCCCUAGCUUGAAUCUUUUUUCACUCAAAUAUGAUUUUCAAUUGAGAUUUGCUAAUGAUUAAGUUAAUAUUAUUAUGAGUGAUGUUUGUGCUCAUAAUAAAUGUAAAUGUUUAAUGAGAAGUUGUUCUGUAUGGUGUAUGUAAUGGAGUGAUUGAAAUACAACUUCCUCCUACUGAAAAGUAAAAGGGAAAAAUCAUUGAAAGAUUGAAUUUAUACUUCCUUCUUGCAAUAUUUAUUUUUAAGAAGGAAAAAAGACAAAAUACAAAAGAGGGAUUCUGGUUGUUGCUCAUUAAAUAGAAAGGGAAUUGCAAUGGAAUUAUUCAAGUAAUUCAUCUCGUUUUAAUAUAAUUAGUAUGGUAUAGAACAAUAGUUAAUAUCCAUGAUGAUAAUAACAAAACUAUAAUAUGUGGAUAUUUACAUGCCUAAGUAAACAGUACCACAGCAUACAAGUAAUACUAUUUACUUCUUAUUAAGUAACUUAGUAUUUAAAACUUCAAGCAUCAAAUUGAUGUCCUAGUAAACAAGUAGCAACGGCUUCCACAUGCGGAGUGGGGAUAAAUUUUAACAACUGUCCUUGAACUUACAUAGUUGUAACACUACGGUCUUUCAAUUUAAAAAUGUAACAUAAA
rnacentral:misc_RNA from 1 species